CGUAAAAGAUGAUGCCAUUAAAUUUUAGUUAAUAAUUUAUAAACUAAAUAAAAAUGUAAUAAAAGGGUAAAUUUGACGAGAAAAGAUGAGAUACGUACAAAAAAAAACUUAAUUUUUUUUCCUGAAAAUAACUUUCAAGGAUCUGCAUAAUAAGCCGAGCAAUAUACCUACGACAUGGGCUUGGGGGCUGAUUUCGAAUUCCCGAUGAAAUCUACUUUUUGCAGCCACUUCGACUUGGUCGAAAUUGUGUUCAUCUGCGUCGCCUUUACCUUCCUGUUGAUUUUCCUGACUCAAGUGGGUCGCAUCCUUUCAUCUGGAUUUAUAGAUUAUACGUAAACAAAAUUAUUGUAGUAGUGAAACGGCUGUAUAUAUUACAAGCUUCAUAACAGAUGAAGAUUAAGAUGAAUAAGAACGAAUAUAUAAAAGAAUAUAACCUAUAUAAUUUAAUGUAUAAUUAUUAAGACCAAAUAAUAUUGCAGCGUCUAAACAAUAUAAGCCAUCUGCAAUUGUUAUAUAACAAUAAUUUGAAAAUUGCAAAACAGCCGACAGUUGACGGCAUUUUUUAAUAAGUGUUUGGUAACUAACAACGUAACAGCGGACCGCGUACAAUGCUCUAACGAUGUUUUCGAUUUAUAAAGAAAUACUUUCGUAAUACCUAUUCAACUUAUGUAUUUGUAAUUUAUUCAAAUGUUGUUUUUUUGCAUAUAAGAAAUUCAAUGUUAUAAACGUUUAAUAUAUUUUUAGAUAUUA